GGGAAAAGUUGAGCAACACCCACCCCAGAAUAAACUCACCCCUGUGGGGUGUCAGGGCAAGAAAUGUGGGCCAUUACCUGCCACUUUCAGCUCAAUCACUGCAUCACUGUAGAAGGAACCAUUUUUGAA